GAGUUUGAUCCUGGCUCAGGACGAACGCUGGCGGUGCGCCUUAUGCAUGCAAGUUGAGCGAAGCUUUUUGGUAGUUUACUACUAGAAAUGACUGAGCGGCGAACGGGUGAGUAACGCGUGAGCAAUCUACCUUAGUUACUGGGAUAGCCCGAGGAAACUCGGAUUAAUACCAGAUAUUCUUAUUUUUUCACAUGAAGUUUUAAGGAAAGGUCAGCCGAACUAAGAUGAGCUCGCGUUCUAUCAGCUAGUUGGUGGGGUAAAAGCCUACCAAGGCAACGACGGAUAGCUGGUCUGAGAGGACGAUCAGCCACACUGGGACUGAGACACGGCCCAGACUCCUACGGGAGGCUGCAGCAGGGAAUAUUGUGCAAUGAGCGAAAGCUUGACACAGCGACACCGCGUGUGGGAUGACGGUUCUAGGAUUGUAAACCACUUUCAGGAGGGAAGAAAAUGACGGUACCUCCACAAGAAGACCCGGCCAACUAUGUGCCAGCAGCCGCGGUAAUACGGAGGGUCCAAGCGUUAUCCGGAUUUAUUAGGUUUAAAGGGUCCGCAGGCGGGAUUUUAAGUCAGUGGUGAAAGCCUACAGCUCAACUGUAGAACUGCCAUUGAUACUGAAAUUCUUGAGUGUGGUUGAAGUGGGCGGAACAUGUCAUGUAGCGGUGAAAUGCAUAGAUAUGACAUAGAACACCAAUUGCGAAGGCAGCUCACUAAGCCAUUACUGACGCUGAGGGACGAAAGCGUGGGGGAGCGAACAGGAUUAGAUACCCUGGUAGUCCACGCCGUAAACGAUGAUCACUCGUUGCUAGCGAUACACUGUUAGUGACCAAGCGAAAGUGUUAAGUGAUCCACCUGGGAAGUACGUUCGCAAGAAUGAAACUCAAAGGAAUUGACGGGGGCCCGCACAAGCGGUGGAGCAUGUGGUUUAAUUCGAUGAUACGCGAGGAACCUUACCAGGGCUUAAAUGCAGAAUGACAGAUUGGGAAACCAGUCCUUCUUCGGACAUUUUGCAAGGUGCUGCAUGGUUGUCGUCAGCUCGUGCCGUGAGGUGUCAGGUUAAGUCCUAUAACGAGCGCAACCCCCAUUCUUAGUUGCCAGCGGGUAAUGCCGGGAACUCUAAGGAGACUGCCAGCGCAAGCUGCGAGGAAGGUGGGGAUGACGUCAAAUCAUCACGGCCCUUACGUCCUGGGCUACACACGUGCUACAAUGGAUGGUACAAUGGGCAGCCACUACGCGAGUAGGAGCUAAUCCUCAAAACCAUUCUCAGUUCGGAUCGGAGUCUGCAACUCGACUCCGUGAAGCCGGAAUCGCUAGUAAUCAGAUAUCAGCAAUGAUCUGGUGAAUACGUUCCCGGGCCUUGUACUCACCGCCCGUC
rnacentral:rRNA from 1 species